rnacentral:rRNA from 1 species
AACGAACGCUGGCGGCAUGCCUAACACAUGCAAGUCGAACGAGACCUUCGGGUCUAGUGGCGCACGGGUGCGUAACGCGUGGGAACCUGCCCUUAGGUUCGGAAUAACUCCCCGAAAGGGGUGCUAAUACCCGAUAAUGUCUUCGGACCAAAGAUUUAUCGCCUUUGGAUGGGCCCGCGUUGGAUUAGCUAGUUGGUAGGGUAAAAGCCUGCCAAGGCGACGAUCCAUAGCUGGUCUGAGAGGAUGAUCAGCCACACUGGGACUGAGACACGGCCCAGACUCCUACGGGAGGCAGCAGUGGGGAAUAUUGGACAAUGGGCGAAAGCCUGAUCCAGCAAUGCCGCGUGAGUGAUGAAGGCCUUAGGGUUGUAAAGCUCUUUUACCCGGGAUGAUAAUGACAGUACCGGGAGAAUAAGCUCCGGCUAACUCCGUG